rnacentral:rRNA from 1 species
AUUGAACGCUGGCGGCAGGCCUAACACAUGCAAGUCGAACGGUAGCACAGAGAGCUUGCUCUCGGGUGACGAGUGGCGGACGGGUGAGUAAUGUCUGGGAAACUGCCCGAUGGGGGGGGAUAACUACUGGAAACGGUAGCUAAUACCGCAUAACGUCUUCGGACCAAAGUGGGGGACCUUCGGGCCUUACACCAUCGGAUGUGCCCAGAUGGGAUUAGCUAGUAGGUGGGGUAAUGGCUCACCUAGGCGACGAUCCCUAGCUGGUCUGAGAGGAGCACAAGCCACCCUGGAACUAAGACACGGUCCAGACUCCUACGGGAGGCAGCAGUGGGGAAUAUUGCACAAUGGGCGCAAUCCUGAUGCAGCCAUGCCGCGUGUAUGAAGAAGGCCUUCGGGUUGUAAAGUACUUUCAGCGGGGAGGAAGGCGAUGUGGUUAAUAACCGCAUCGAUUGACGUUACCCGCAGAAGAAGCACCGGCUAACUCCGUGCCAGCCGCCGCCGUAAGAC